rnacentral:lncRNA from 1 species
AUUUGGAAUAGUGAUACAUGUAAAUCGUAAGCACUAACUAAUUAUUUCAGGCGUACGCUCUAAUAGAAAGAGCGCAUUCAUCGCACUUAGGGAUUCAACCACAGAGCUCACGGGUUUCGACCUGACUCAAUCUAUAUGGAUGUUAGAUCUAUUAUUGGGUCUCUUGCUGUUAGGUCUAUUGUCAAUCGUAAUCCCACUCGAUUUAUUGGGCUCAAUUUAGCUCAACUUAUUAGUCUCCUGGGUUUACUAUCGCGGG